ACACCACUUAAAAAAAAGUUUGAGAGCUCCCCUCUGCUCUCUCUCUCUCUCUCUGAAUUCCGGUCAGCCGUCCGGCCAUCGACACCGUCAUGGACCGCCGGUCAUCUCCCUUUUUCCGCGUAGAACUCCGAUCUGGAGUUGGAAUCGCAGAAAAAUCGCCGGAAGUUUUCGAAAGGGAAGAAAACCCUUCAGCUUCUAUCCCUCCGACGGCAGCGCAACAGGCGUUGACAGGAGUGAUGGGACGGGGCAUCUGUCUUGGGCGCUUAACGCGCUGACACCACGUGAGGAGCGGCGCCUAAGGUUUCAAAAACCCUAGGGUUUCAUCCGAGGGUGUUAAACAUUUUGGGCCAUAGUUUGGUCCUCAUUUUAGGCUCAUGUGUGGGCUUGCAAAUUUGGGUAUUGGGUCUGUAGCCUGUUCUGUAAUUUGGACUUUGUAAUAAUGAACUGUUGUUUUUUAUUUUUAUUUUGGUUCUUCUCUGGGCCCGGACAAAAAAGGGUUAUUACAUAGGGUACAUUGCUACUUAUAGUUGUUGUGCUCAAUUUCUGUGGAUGAGGCAGAUGAUGGAGGACUUUGGGGUUGCAUUACCUAUUGUCACGACCUAUUGUGACAACAUUAAUGCAAUAAACAUUUCAAAGAAUCUUGUGUAGCAUUCAAGAACAAAGCAAAUUGAUAUCAGACACUAAUUUAUUCAAGAGUUGGUUGAGAAUGAGCCUGUUGAGCUAAGGUAUGUGUCCGCUAAAGGCCAGUUAACUAAUAUGUUCACCAAACCCUUAAUUUCAAAUAGGUUUGAGAGCUUGAGAAGCUCAGUUGGGGUACAUCAAGCUUGAAGGGGUUGACCCUUUUGGAAGGCAUCCACACGACUAUGUUUUAUGCCAUUUUGGUGUAUUUUGCGAUAAUUAUGUUUAUAUUUAUUCGCUGAAAUUUUGGAGGCUAAUAAAAUAAUGUUUUUGGCUCCAUUUUUUUUUUUUGAAGGUAACAUGUAUAUUUUGGGAAAUGACAACUUUACUUGCUAUAAAUGCCCAAUCAUAUCCUUUGGGAUUUUUGCUGUUGAUUUUGAAUCUCUAAAUUCCCUAAAAGCUUGCCAUCCUUCUUGUUUCCAAGUUCUUGGCUCUUUCAUAAAACCCAAACUCUCUCUAUAAGAAAUCUCAUGUUCUCUGACCAUGGCCUGUGUAAAGAUCACAUCUGUUGGAGAGUAUGAAAAGCAACAACAAUCACAACAAUCAACUGGUGAGGGGACAUCCAAUCCCUAAGUUCAGAGGGAUGAUGGUGAAAACAGGGAAAUGCUCACUUCCCAAGGCACAUCAUAACCGGAGGUAACCUAGACAACAUCGAUACCUCUUGUUUCUUACCUCUCUUCUGAACUUUCUAUUCUAGUCACUCCAAGGGGGGAAGAAGUUGUCUCAGUCGAUAUGGAGAUGCAAACCGUCAGACCAUCUUAGGUUAUCUUGCAAGCAGCGAUUAAGAUUGAUGCCUUGAACAAUCCACCAAUGCCACUAAAA